rnacentral:rRNA from 1 species
GUCCACGCCGUAAACGUUGGGCACUAGGUGUGGGCCUCAACCAACGAGGUCCGUGCCGUCGCUAACGCAUUAAGUGCCCCGCCUGGGGAGUACGGCCGCAAGGCUAAAACUCAAAGGAAUUGACGGGGCCCGCACAAGCAGCGGAGCGUGUUGCUUAAUUCGAUGCAACGCGAAGAACCUUACCUGGGUUUGACAUGUAGGGAAAAGCCGUAGAGAUACGGUGUCCUUCGGGGCCUUACACAGGUGGUGCAUGGCUGUCGU